AUUGAACGCUGGCGGCAGGCUUAACACAUGCAAGUCGAACGAGUGGCGGACGGGUGAGUAAUGUUUGGGAAUCUGGCUUAUGGAGGGGGAUAACUACUGGAAACUGUAGCUAAUACCGCGUACCAUAGUCUCAGAUCAAGGGGUAUUAGGUAGUUGGUGUGGUAAAGGCUCACCAAGCCGACGAUCUCUAGCGGGUCUGAGAGGAGGACCAGCCACACUGGGACUGAGACACGGCCCAGACUCCUACGGGAGGCAGCAGUGGGGAAUAUUGGGCAAUGGACGCAAGCUGACGCAGCCAUGCCGCGUGAGUGAAGAAGGCCUUCGGGUUGUAAAGUUCUGUCGGUAGCGAGGCGGUAACUACAGAAGAAGCACCGGCUAACUCCGUGCCAGCAGCCGCGGUAAUUC
rnacentral:rRNA from 1 species